rnacentral:tRNA from 2 species
GUCUUCGUAGCUCAGUUGGUAGAGCAGCUGACUCUUAAUCAGCGGGCCCAGAGUUCGAGUCUCUGCGAGGACACCA